UUUCAAUUAUUGGGUUGGCCAAGAGUUUGUUCGGGUUUCUCCAUAAGCUGUAUAGAAAAACCUCAAUGAACUCUUUGGCCAACCCAAUAUUUUGCU
ensembl:miRNA